UGGGGAAUUUUGCACAAUGGGGGAAACCCUGAUGCAGCGACGCCGCGUGAUUUAGAAGGCCUUCGGGUUGUAAAAAUCUUUUCUAUGGGAAGAAAAUGACAGUACCAUAGGAAUAAGGACCGGCUAAUUACGUGCCAGCAGCCGCGGUAAUACGUAAGGUCCGAGCGUUGUCCGGAAUCAUUGGGCGUAAAGGGUACGUAGGCGGGUAAGCAAGUUAGAAGUGAAAUCCUGUAGCUCAACUACAGUAAGCUUUUAAAACUGCUCAUCUUGAGAUAUGGAAGGGAAAGUGGAAUUCCAUGUGUAGCGGUGAAAUGCGUAGAUAUAUGGAGGAACACCAGUGGCGAAGGCGACUCUCUGGUCUGUAACUGACGCUGAGGCUCGAAAGCGUGGGUAGCAAACAGG
rnacentral:rRNA from 1 species